GCGUGGGCCACCCCUCCCCAACGAGCGGGCUUACUAUCUGGAAGGAUAGACCAC
rfam:Mesorhizobium australicum strain B5P genome assembly, contig: Ga0048943_14